UAUACCGAUUUGUCCAGGACUUACGUGCAGUAAAUAAAGUUGUCCAAGCUAGACACAAUGUGGUACCAAACCCUCACACAAUCCUGACUGCCAUUCCAGCAAGUACUGCUUGUUAUUCAGUAAUAGACUUGUGUAAUGCUUUUUUUAGUAUUCCUCUAGAUAAGGACAGCUGGGAUAUCUUUGCAUUUACAUGGACGGACCCAAAACUAAAAAAGCAAAACAACUGACCUGGACUCGGCUCCCGCAAGGAUAUGUUGAGUCCCCGACUAUUUUUUCCUCUAUCCUGACACGUGACUUAGCUGAUAUCAGCCUACCGGGUGGGUCUACAUAUCUCUUGUAUGUGAAUAACGUCCUGGUUUGUUCUCCGGAUCAAGUAACAUGUAAAACAGACACUAUUUACUUGCUAAAUUGCUUGGCAAACAAGAGACAUAAAGUAUCUCCUUCUAAGUUGCAGUUUGCCAAAGACAAGGUAUGCGGCUCAAUUUCAGUCCCUACCCGCUGAUGCUCCUGCCCACCGGAUCGCUCCAGAAGACUGGGUCUAUGUGAAAGAGUGGAAACACGAGCCUCUCCAACCCCGGUGGGCGGGCCCUUUCCAAGUCCUUCUUACCUCUCACACUGCUGUUCGAGUGAGAGAGCGAGACACUUGGAUACACCACACCCGAGUCAAGCUAGCCCCUAGGACGAGGCCAGAAGCAGACAACUUCGGACCUCGAGGGAGCACCGCCAGCUCUUCCCACCGCGACCCGGAAGAGCCAGAAGCAGACAAUACCUAAAAAGCUGAACCUCUUGAGGGACUAAAGCUUCUGUUCCGGCGAACAAAAUCCUAAGACUUUAUAACUAUGGGUUCUCAGACGGUGCUGCAGUGGCUAUUGCUUUUGGGUUUGCCCCUUGUACAAACUAAUCCACACCCAGCCGCUAAAUCUCUUCAGCAAAUAGCCACAUUGGGACACUUAUCUGAUUGUUGGCUGUGUCACAAAACCCGCUCUGAGGAAGGAAUAGGAUUGUAAGCUGUACCAGCAAAUCUUUCUAAAGUACUCUCCUUACAAGUAAAACAAAAAACUAAAUAAACAUAAAUUAAAAAAUAUCA
rnacentral:lncRNA from 1 species